AGUGAACGCUGGCGGUAGACCUAACACAUGCAAGUCGAACGGCAGCACAGUAAGAGCUUGCUCUUACGGGUGGCGAGUGGCGGACGGGUGAGGAAUACAUCGGAAUCUACUUUUUCGUGGGGGAUAACGUAGGGAAACUUACGCUAAUACCGCAUACGACCUACGGGUGAAAGCAGGGGAUCUUCGGACCUUGCGCGAUUGAAUGAGCCGAUGUCGGAUUAGCUAGUUGGCGGGGUAAAGGCCCACCAAGGCGACGAUCCGUAGCUGGUCUGAGAGGAUGAUCAGCCACACUGGAACUGAGACACGGUCCAGACUCCUACGGGAGGCAGCAGUGGGGAAUAUUGGACAAUGGGCGCAAGCCUGAUCCAGCCAUCCCGCGUGGGUGAAGAAGGUCUUCGGGUUGUAAAGCCCUUUUGUUGGGAAAGAAAAGCAGCAGGUUAAUACCCCGCUGUUCUGACGGUACCCAAAGAAUAAGCACCGGCUAACUUCGU
rnacentral:rRNA from 1 species